UUUCCGCCAUCUUGAAUCUGUUGUCGGCCAUCUUGAAUCGAUUUCGUGAGGGAUUUUUGGGUCAAAUUUGGUCGUUUUCAACCGGGAUUUUUUCUUAAAACAUGGGCGUGUCCUCCCUAACUCUAACCCCGCCCCUUUUCCUCGCAGCCCCCGCCCACUCCCCCAGCGUUUUCCCGCUGGUCUCCUGCUCCUGCGACGGCGACCGGGUGAGUUUCGGCUGCCUGGCCUCCGGUUUCUUCCCGACGCCGGCGGCCAUCACCUGGGAGGGCGUGGCCUCAGGUGAGGCCCUGAGCUUCCCGGAAGUGAGCACGGCCAGCGACGCCCUGAGCGUCACCUCCCGCGUCACCGCGCCGGCCGAGGAGGCCGAGGGCGGGGAGUUCGUCUGCAGGGUCCAGCACCGGAGCAGCGACGUGCAGGAGAGCGUCACAGCCUGCCCCCCAGCCCCCGCCCUCUCCAUCUCCCUCCUGGCAGACCCCAACCAGGACGGCCACGCCCCCGACCCCGCCCACGUCCUCCUGCUGUGCCAGGUGCGGGGGCGGGGCGCGGCCGACGCCCGCCUCACCUGGGCGGUCAACGGCGACGUCACCGACCUGGGGGCGGAGCUUUCCAGCUGCCAAGAUGGCGGCGGCGCCGGUCACGCGACGCUGAGCGGGCGGGCCAACGUCAGCAGGGAAUUGUGGGAAGGCGGGGCUAAUUUCAGCUGCCAGGCCGACCACGCCCACCUGGACACGCCCCUGAGGGCGUCGCUCUCCACUUUCUGUCAAGGCCCCCAACCCUCCCCCUCCGUCCUCAUCCUCCCCCCCUCCCUCCGCGACCUCUACCUGUCCCCCUCCCCCAACCUCACCUGCGUGGCCUCCAACCUCAAAUCCCCCCGGGUCAAAUUCACCUGGGAACGUUCCGGAGGGGGCGGGGCCUUGGGCGUGGCCACUUCCGGCCCCGCCCACCGCCUUCCCAGCGGCCUCUACGAGCUCCGGAACUUUCUGGGCGUCUGCGCCGAGGAUUGGAAUUCCGGCGACGUUUUCACCUGUAAGGUCACCGAGGAGGAGACGGGGGAGGAGCUGAGCGCCAGCGCCAGGAAGGACGUGGACGCCGCCGCCGUCGCCCCCAAAGUCUUCGCCUUCCCGCCGCCCCCGGAGGAGCUGGCGGCGUCCGAGACGGCGACGCUGACCUGCCUGGCCAGCGGCUUCCGGCCGCGCGACGUCCUGGUCACCUGGACCCAGCAGGACGCGCCCGUGGACGAGCGGAAGUUCUCGGUGCUGGGGCCGGAAGAGGACGCCGGAAGUUCCGGAACGUUCUCGGUCUACUCGAAGCUGUCGGUGCCGGCGGAGGAGUGGAGGAGGGGGGACGUGUUCGGGUGCGUGGUGGGGCAUGAUGGGAUACAGGGGGUGCGGUUUAUCCAGAGGAACCUGGACAAGGCGGCGGCGCGGCCGGCCAGCGUCAACGUGUCCGUGGUGUUGGCCGACUCCGACCUCGUGUGCUAUUAAAAAAUUAA